rnacentral:lncRNA from 1 species
AAAAUAUUCUAUUUUCUUAUAAAACAAUAUUUUUAGAGUUAUAUGUAAAUAAUUUUUGCAGCGUAAAAGCAAAAUAAAUUCAUACAUACUGUAAUACAGUAAGCCAGAGUAUUUAAUUUAAUUUACAAUAACCAGUGGGCCCUCGAAUAACCAAAAGUAAGGAAGACUAUGAACCUACAGUUUGGAGGAUGCAAAUCCAAUGAUAGCCUCGAUGAAACUAGCUAUCUACAGCCUAUUCUGAUAUUGAAAUGGGUGGAAAGGAGGGUGGUGAGAUUAUAUAAUCCCAGUGAGUAAACAAACAUCAUCCAAAAUAUCUAC